AUUGAACGCUGGCGGCAGGCCUAACACAUGCAAGUCGAACGAGUGGCGGACGGGCGAGUAGUGUAUGGGAAAGUGCCUGAUGGAGGGGGAUAACUACUGGAAACGGUAGCUAAUACCGCAUACCAUCGGAUGUGCCCAGAUGGGUUUAGCUAGUAGGUGGGGUAAAGGCUCACCAAGGCGACGAGCCCUAGCAGGUCUGAGAGGAUGACCAGCCACACUGGAACUGAGACACGGUCCAGACUCCUACGGGAGGCAGCAGUGGGGAAUAUUGCGCAAUGGGCGCAAGCCUGAUGCAGCCAUGCCGCGUGUAUGAAGAAGGCCUUCGGGUUGUAAAGUACUUUCGGCGGGGAGGCGUUACCCGCAGAAGAAGCCCCGGCUAACUCCGUGCCAGCAGCCGCGGUAAUAC
rnacentral:rRNA from 1 species